AGCAGUAGCCACGGGAAUACGGAGGGUGCAAGCGUUAAUCGGAAUUACUGGGCGUAAAGCGCACGCAGGCGGUCUGACAAGUCAGAUGUGAAAUCCCCGGGCUUAACCUGGGAACUGCAUUUGAAACUGUCAGGCUGGAGUCUUGUAGAGGGGGGUGGAAUUCCAGGUGUAGCGGUGAAAUGCGUAGAGAUCUGGAGGAAUACCGGUGGCGAAGGCGGCCCCCUGGACAAAGACUGACGCUCAGGUGCGAAAGCGUGGGGAGCAAACAGGAUUAGAUACCCGUGUAGUCCCUGUCUCUUAUAC
rnacentral:rRNA from 1 species